rnacentral:tRNA from 1 species
GGGUGUAUAGUUCAGUUGGUAGAGCAAUGGUCUCCAAAACCAGAUGUCAUCGGUUCGAUUCCGGUUGCACUCG